AUCUAAGUACCCCGAGGAAAAGAAAUCAACCGAGAUUCCCCCAGUAGCGGCGAGCGAACGGGGAGGAGCCCAGAGCCUGAAUCAGCAUGUGUGUUAGUGGAAGCGUCUGGAAAGGCGCGCGAUACAGGGUGACAGCCCCGUACACAAAAGCGCAUGUGCUGUGAGCUCGAUGAGUAGGGCGGGACACGUGGUAUCCUGUCUGAAUAUGGGGGGACCAUCCUCCAAGGCUAAAUACUCCUGACUGACCGAUAGUGAACCAGUACCGUGAGGGAAAGGCGAAAAGAACCCCGGCGAGGGGAGUGAAAAAGAACCUGAAACCGUGUACGUACAAGCAGUGGGAGCACCCUUUGGGGUGUGACUGCGUACCUUUUGUAUAAUGGGUCAGCGACUUAUAUUCUGUAGCAAGGUUAACCGUAU
rnacentral:rRNA from 1 species